UACAGAGGGUGCGAGCGUUGUCCGGAAUCACUGGGCGUAAAGGGCGCGUAGGCGGCCUGAUAAGUAGGGGGUGAAAUCCUGUGGCUUAACUGCAGGGCUGCCUCCUAGACUGUUAGACUCGAGCACGGUAGAGGCAGAUGGAAUUCCCGGUGUAGCGGUGGAAUGCGUAGAGAUCGGGAAGAACAUCGGUGGCGAAGGCGGUCUGCUGGGCCGUUGCUGACGCUGAGGCGCGACAGCGUGGGGGAGCAAACAGG
rnacentral:rRNA from 1 species